rnacentral:rRNA from 1 species
ACCGCCCUACGGGGGGCAGCAGUAGGGAAUCUUCCACAAUGGACGAAAGUCUGAUGGAGCAACGCCGCGUGAGUGAAGAAGGGUUUCGGCUCGUAAAGCUCUGUUGGUAGUGAAGAAAGAUAGAGGUAGUAACUGGCCUUUAUUUGACGGUAAUUACUUAGAAAGUCACGGCUAACUAUUUUCCAGCAGCCGCGGUAAUACGUAUGUGGCAAGCGUUGUCCGGAUUUAUUGGGCGUAAAGCGAGUGCAGGCGGUGUAAUUAAUCUUAU